rnacentral:lncRNA from 1 species
UAUAUUUUCUCCAAUUUAUUUAUUGUAGCCCUGUCGUGUAAUGUUGUCAUCACAAUGUUAUAAUUAACACAGACAUUAAAGCGGGAGGUUUGGCAUGCCACAAAACCAGGUUCAACCCACCAUUUUUUCAUAAAAGCCCUGUACCAAGUCAGGAAAAUGGCCAUUGUUACAUUAUAGUUCGUUUCUGUGUGUGUUACAUUU